rnacentral:misc_RNA from 1 species
GCAAAUGCAAUAGAAGUUGUGCCAUGACUAUCCAUAACUCGCUAAGAGAGAACUCAUCAAAAGAACAUACAAUAUAAAAAAGUACAUAGAGUAUAAAUUGUUUAACACAUUAAAACCACCAACACUCCAUUAACAACAAUUUGAAGCAAGUACCCAAGACACCAGACAUCAUCAAGAUUCCAGAACAAGUUGCAACAAAUGGUUAAUGAGAAGUUUUACAGAACAUGCAAACAUAAAAAGAAGCAGCUCAUGAUGAUCUGGAAGAGUUGAACUGUUAAUCCAGAUAGAAUCUAAUACACACUGUGAAUACUCUUCGAUGUAUAAGAUCCAUGCCCAUACAUGAUGUGAGUAUCAAUUUAGGUAAAAAAAUCCAUAUCCAAAACCUCUGAAAAAUUCUGCAUACCCAAGUUCCAAAUUCUGAUUCACUAACAAGAGCAACACACAUUAAACUUUGGUAUCAAUUUGAACAAUUUAAUAUGUCCACCAUAACUUAAUUAAGAAUGCCUAAAUGUGAUCAACUAACAAAGCAAAGCGAAAAUUAAAUACUACAGCAAUACAUACAAUAUGGACUUGGUUGGAUUAAACAAAGAUUUGAACUCUACAAUGCCCAUUUACUGUAUUCACUCAACCAAUAAAACUAAAGCCAAAAAUUUAAGUACAGAACAGAACCCACAAAUCCAACAGAUGUAAAAACCAGGAGAAUGUAAAUGCCCAUUCAUACUAAGCAAAUACGAAAAAUUUUACAUACAUAUGGCUAAAGACAACUCAACUCAACUAGACCUUUAUCCACAAAAUUUAGGAUAGGCUAUAUAAAUUCACUUUCUCCCUAAAUAAUUUUGGGAUAAAUCCUCCGAAAUGUGUAGGAAAUCCCAUAAAGGCACGAACUUU